UACAGAGGUCUCAAGCGUUGUUCGGAUUCAUUGGGCGUAAAGGGUGCGUAGGUGGCGGGGUAAGUUGGAUGUGAAAUCUCGGAGCUCAACUCCGAAACUGCAUUCAAUACUGCCUUGCUAGAGUACUGGAGAGGAGAUUGGAAUUUACGGUGUAGCAGUGAAAUGCGUAGAUAUCGUAAGGAAGACCAGUGGCGAAGGCGAGUCUCUGGACAGUUACUGACGCUGAGGCACGAAGGCCAGGGGAGCAAACGGG
rnacentral:rRNA from 1 species